UACAGAGGAGCCAAGCGUUGUCCGGAUUGACUGGGCGUAAAGCGCACGCAGGCGGACGCGCGCGUGGGUGUGAAAUCUGGCCGCUUAACGGCCAGGCGCCAUCCCAUACGGCGGGUCUGGAGUGAUGCAGAGGGCGGUGGAAUUGCCGGUGUAGUGGUGAAAUGCGUAGAGAUCGGCAGGAACACCCAGGGGAAACCAGCCGCCUGGGCAUCGACUGACGCUGAGGUGCGAGAGCGUGGGGAGCGAACCGG
rnacentral:rRNA from 1 species